rnacentral:rRNA from 1 species
GUCCUUGCCGUAAACGAUGUAUACUUGGUGUAGUUGGAUUCAACCCUAACUGUGCCGUAGCUAACGCGUUAAGUAUACCGCCUGGGAAGUACAGUCGCAAGGCUGAAACUCAAAAGAAUUGACGGGGACCCGCACAAGCAGUGGAGCAUGUGGUUUAAUUCGAUGCAACGCGAAGAACCUUACCCAGGCUUGACAUGCAGAUGACCGCUGUAGAAAUAUGGCUUUCCUUCGGGACAUUUGCACAGGUGCUGCAUGGCUGUCGU